rnacentral:rRNA from 1 species
UACGUAGGGGGCUAGCGUUGUCCGGAAUCAUUGGGCGUAAAGCGCGUGUAGGCGGUUCGGUAAGUCCGCUGUGAAAGUCGGGGGCUCAACCCUCGAAUGCCGGUGGAUACUGUCGAACUAGAGUCCGGAAGGGGCGAGUGGAAUUCCUGGUGUAGCGGUGAAAUGCGCAGAUAUCAGGAGGAACACCAAUGGCGAAGGCAGCUCGCUGGAACGGUACUGACGCUGUGGCGCGAAAGCGUGGGGAGCAAACAGG